rnacentral:rRNA from 1 species
UUUCAUCGGCGUAGGGUGAGUCGGCCCCUAAGGCGAGGCAGAGAUGCGUAGCUGAUGGGAAACAGGUGAAUAUUCCUGUACCGAUUGCAAGUGCGAUGUGGGGACGGAGAAGGUUAGCUCAGCCGGGUGUUGGAUGUCCCGGUUCAAGCGUGUAGUCAUGCCCUCUAGGCAAAUCCGGAGGGCUAAGAUGAGGCGUGAUAACGAGUCUGCUUGCAGACGAAGUGAGUGAUACCCUGCUUCCAAGAAGAGCCACUAAGCUCCAGCUUGCAACGACCGUACCGCAAACCGACACUGGUGCGCGUGAUGAGUAUUCUCAGGCGCUUGAGAGAACUCUGGAGAAGGAACUCGGCAAAUUGACACCGUAACUUCGGAAGAAGGUGUGCCUUCAGUCAGUGAAGCCCCUCGCGGGUGGAGCUAAACGAGGCCGCAGAGAAUCGGUGGCUGCGACUGUUUAAUAAAAACACAGCACUCUGCAAAGACGAAAGUCGACGUAUGGGGUGUGACGCCUGCCCGGUGCUGGAAGAUUAAAUGAUGGGGUGCAAGCUCUUGACUGAAGUCCCAGUAAACGGCGGCCGUAACAAUAACGGUCCUAAGGUAGCGAAAUUCCUUGUCGGGUAAGUUCCGACCUGCACGAAUGGCGUAACGAUGGCCACACUGUCUCCUCCAGAGACUCAGCGAAGUUGAAAUGUUUGUGAUGAUGCAAUCUCCCCGCGGAAAGACGGAAAGACCCCAUGAACCUUUACUGUAGCUUUACAUUGGACUUUGAACAGAUCUGUGUAGGAUAGGUGGGAGGCUUUGAGGCCAGGACGCUAGUUCUGGUGGAGCCGACGUUGAAAUACCACCCUGGUGUGUUUGAGGUUCUAACCUUGGUCCCUGAUCGGGAUUGGGGACAGUGUAUGGUGGGCAGUUUGACUGGGGCGGUCUCCUCCCAAAGUGUAACGGAGGAGUUCGAAGGUACGCUAGCCACGGUCGGAAAUCGUGGUGAUAGUGCAUUGGCAUAAGCGUGCUUGACUGCGAGACUGACAAGUCGAGCAGGUACGAAAGUAGGACAAAGUGAUCCGGUGGUUCUGUAUGGAAGGGCCAUCGCUCAACGGAUAAAAGGUACUCUGGAUAACAGGCUGAUACCGCCCAAGAGUUCAUAUCGACGGCGGUGUUUGGCACCUCGAUGUCGGCUCAUCUCAUCCUGGGGCUGUAGCCGGUCCCAAGGGUAUGGCUGUUCGCCAUUUAAAGAGGUACGUGAGCUGGGUUUAAAACGUCGUGAGACAGUUUGGUCCCUAUCUUCCGUGGGCGCUGCAGAAUUGAGAGAGCCUGCUCCUAGUACGAGAGGACCGGAGUGGACGCACCUCUGGUGUACCGGUUGUCACGCCAGUGGCAUCGCCGGGUAGCUAUGUGCGGAAGAGAUAACCGCUGAAAGCAUCUAAGCGGGAAACUCGUCUCAAGAUAAGUUCUGCCGGGGCCUCGAGCCCCCUGAAGAGUCGUUCAAGACCAGGACGUUGAUAGGCUGGGUGUGGAAGAGCGGUAACGCUUUAAGCUAA